rnacentral:lncRNA from 1 species
AAACGCUCGGUUCGGCAAUCCGACGAGCGUACGCGAGGUUAUUGACGAAACGGUCGGUUUUGGUACAGAUAGCCGCAGCACGCGGAAUAAAGGUUUAAAAAUUAUGAGAUCGGAACUGGAGCACCUUGGAGUCAAGGAAUAAACUCCGGAAAAGACGGAUCACGGUUUGGAGGUCGUUUGGAAGUCACGCAAGAGUUCGGGCCAAACCGGGCAACGGUUGCCGCCGGAGGCCGAUUGCAAGUGACUACGAGCAAUCGGAGCGCGAGUUAAGGUGGGUUGGUUUACCGAAGCGACUAGGUCGCCUUUAUGUCUAAGAAAUUAAGAAUCCAUGUUGAUGCAUAUAAAUGUAAAUGGCAAGGAGAUCGCUCAGUUAGGCAAUACGAGCGGGAGUUUUCCCGUAUCGUGCAUUGUGUCCCAAACUUGGUACGAGAUGACAAGGACAAGGCUGACUGCUUUGUGCGUGGACUGCGGCCAGGCCUUUACAAGGCUGUGCUUGUACACAGGUUGCAGACUUUUGCUGAAGUCCUGGAUCGGGCCUUGUGGAUAGAACAAGGCGAGGCAUAUCUGCGAGAGGAGCGCGAGGCAUGUUACAAGGAAAAGGGGAAAGGACGACCAACAGGUGGAUCCAGUGGUCAGUCAAGUUCCCAACGGACUUCGACGAGUUCGCACUCGCGAUCCCGAGCUCCGGGGACAUACCGUAUUCGGUCCUCGGCGAAAUGUGCUAUCUGUGGAGGCCCUCAUUUUCCACAGUAGUGUGAGCAGCGAGAGGGCAAGUGCUUCAAGUGUGGGCUGCCGGGUCAUAUGCGAGACGAGUGUCCGCGUGGUGACGGACGGACCUUGGCACUGGCGACGGCGUAUUCCUCUCUGGGACAGCCUGCAGGUGUGCCCCCUGCGGCAUGGCCGGGAGAGCAGCCGUUGAGGACGAUGCAACCAGAGGGUUCGCGACGAGCGCCAGGUGGGCACGGAUAAGCUACCCGAAUCACGGAGCCUGCCGCUGCUGACGUCAUCAUGGCAGGUAUGAGUUAAUUGAGAAAGCAUGUGCUUUUACUAAUCUCAAGUUGGUGCAUAGCAUGCAUUUAUUGUUGGUCGGUUGCUACUAAUUAUAUUUAUUGCAUAGUAGGGACCGAAUAGUCAGGUAAGUAGACGCCCGUACAUGCUUGCAUUGUGAGAGGUGGCGCCUGCUGAUGCAGGUAGGAAGCCAAGUGGUGCUAGCUAAUGGCUAGUGAUGAUUCUCCGGUAAGGAAUGAGAUCCGUGGAGAACAUGGUCUAGUAAGUGACUCUCGAAAUAAUGGAUUGGAAAAAAAAAAAAAAUUGUGGAAGUUGAGCCUUAGUGUUGAGGAUACCCGAAAGAUUCGGGAGUUGAGAAUGUGUUCCGAUAGAUCGGACAGUGAAAGUAGAAUCACCGUGGUGAGAGUAGCCGUGUAGUUGACGGACGCGGGCCCGUUGGCCUAGUAAUACCUCGAAGUUGAGGUGGACAAGCUGUGCUCUUGUAGUGGACGUGCAUAGGCAAGCUGCCCGAUGCUGGAUUUCAUGUUAGACGCGGUAGAGGCGUAGAGCGCUCGAGUAUAAUUACUCGUGAGGUGCGGUUUCAAUUCAGCCAGUUGAGUGAGUUGGCAGUAGCACUUUAGCAGGGCUAAGUGUGAAGCGGGCCAUGGAUCACUCGUGGGGCUGGUGGCUCGCACAAGGUGCUUAAGAGCCGAUAGAGGUACUUGUAGCUCUGGUAGAGCAUGUCGUGUAAGACGACGUUGGCGGGUAGUGCUUGGGGACGACCCAUGCCUGGACCACUUGUGGACUGUGGAGCCUGGACCCAUUUGGCAGGCGCAGUCAGCUGUGAGAGACAGCGGCCCGGUACCUAUUGGUAGGGCGAGAGUUUUGGUCAGGACGGUAGUCCGAGCUUAGACCCGAGUACGUGGAAUGUCACGUGUUAGAGUGCGAGAUUGAUGAUGCACCGAGUGUGUAGUGACCCAACCCAAGGAUUUGAUGUGGAUUGGGGUCUUGAUAGCUCCUGGUUGGAGUGUGUGCGAGUUCUCCAAUGAGAAUGUCGCCCAAUGAUGAUUGGGUCUACGCUUGCGAGCGAGAGACGCUAGGCGUCGUUGAGACGAGUUUAGUUGGUAGGCCUACGUAGGGUGGGUGACUGUUGGUCCACCCGUAGAGACUGAUGGUCGGUGCGACCAAUGACUCCGUGAAUGAGCUUAGGCUCGAGUUGCGAACGAAGGGUUCGUGCAAAUCCACAGCUGGAGUAGAGUGGCGUUGAUCGUGGCUUAUGAUAUUAAAGGAUAAAGAGAAGCCGAAGUGCUCUUAUAAGGCCUUGAGCUAAUGAAAGCCACGUGAGAAUUGGAGUUGAAGUUAGUGGAUAAUCCUCUCAAAAGAGUUGAGGUUGAGACGCGCCGAAGUGUGCCGUCUCGUGAUAGGGCAAGGAUUCGAUUGAGAUUGAAGCACUCGCGAUGGGCCGAUGCACCAAUGAUUUUGUCGCUAUGCAAUGCCGGUGGUCGGAAUCGGAGUGGAAAGGUGCGUUGGUUCCCUCGAUAACUCGAUAGAUCGAGUGGAGAUGUGGUUUGAAUUUCGCGGACGAAAUUCUUUUAAGGUGGGGAGAAUGUAACCCCCAAGAUCUCGGUGAAUAUUGUGGACUUUAGCCAAAUUGACUAAAGUACUCGAAGGGAUUGGUUGGACGCGAUCCAUUAACGUUCCAACACUGUUGGAAGGGUUAAAAAUAAGCUUUAAAUGAGUUGGAAGGAUUUUGGCAUCGAACGACGCGAAAUAGGGCGGAAUCGAAGUCAAAAAUGACUUUUUGGAUGUCUUGUACCGGUACAAGACCAAUGGUUGUGCCGGUACAACCAGCGUAGUACAAUGGCUUGGAGCUGCCAGGCCUUGUACCGGUACAAGAGGCCUUGUACCGGUACAAGCCCUGCGUAACCGAGAGACCAGCCCUCGGGUUGGGCUAUCUGCCAGGCCUUGUACCGGUACAAGAAACCGUGUACCGGUACAAGGAGCCCGAACAGCAGGAAAUUGACCUAUUGCGAAUAUGAUUGGUUGGGGGGUUUAUUUGCAAUUGUUGCAAUAUAACAAAUACCCCAAACAUCUCUCUCUCUCUCCCAGCUGCUCUUUCUCCCUCUCUCAACCGUGCAUAGCAAAGAGAGAGAAAAGAAGAGAAGGAGAAGGAAAAGAGAAGAAGAGAAGGAAAAAAGGGGAAGAAAAAGGAGAAGGAGAAAGAGAAGGAGACCAUGAAGGAGAUCUUCUUCCCCCUAUUCAUCUUCUUCCUCACCUUGGAGCAAGCAUAGAGAGGUAAGCCUCAAACCCUACCAUGGUGGAUUUCUAGGGUUAAGGUUUUAUGGUUUGGAAUUGGUUCAAAUGGAACCUAUUGGAGCUCAAGAGAUGGUUCUAGCUCACAUUGAAGCUUUGAACCAUGGAUUGCACCAUUGAUGCAAACCUAGGGUUAGAGUUUGGGUUUUGAACCCUAGAUCUUAGUUUUGAUCUCCCUACAAGCUUUAGAGCUUCAUAGUAGCCGAAGAACACAUGAAAUCCAUGGUUUCUUCGUAGUGCUCUAAUGGUGGAUUUCUAGGGGUUGUUCCAAAUGCCAUAGAAAUGGUUCAAAUAGUUUGGAAAUGGGAUUAGAGAGCUCUUGGGUGGUUCUAAGCUUAAUUAUGCUUAGCUAUGAGAUCAAUCCCAAGAAAUUUGAUUAUGGCAUUGUUAGGGCACCGAAAUUGGGGCUUUUGCCUCCGGGUGUUUCUAAGGCAAAUUGGCCUUGUAGAAACCUAAUUGGGGACCUAACGAACGCGUUGAAACGCUCGGUUCGGCAAUCCGACGAGCGUACGCGAGGUUAUUGACGAAACGGUCGGUUUUGGUACAGAUAGCCGCAGCACGCGGAAUAAAGGUCUAAAAAUCAUGAGAUCGGAACUGGAGCACCUUGGAGUCAAGGAAUAAACUCCGGAAAAGACGGAUCGCGGUUCGGAGGUCGUUUGCUAAGUCGCGCAAGAGUUCGGGCCAAACCGGGCAACGGUUGCCGCGGGAGGCCGAUUGCAAGUGACUACAAGCAAUCGGAGCGCGUGUUAAGGUGGGUUGGUUUACCGAAGCGACUAGGUCGCCUUUAUGUCUAAUUAUUAGACUUUCAUGUUGAUGCAUGUUGAUGAUCGGCAUAGUUGAUGCUAAGUAGAAAUGCAUAAUAUGAUGUAGAUGCUAAAGUUGAUGCAUAUAAAUGUAAAUGAUGCAUGUAGCUAAAUAAUGCAUGAUGAUAGUGUGAUGUAAUUGCUAAAUAGAAUGCAUUAUGAGCAUGUUGAAUAAAGCUAGAUAAUUAUGUGAAUGCAUGUAAGCAUAAUGCAUAGAAUGAAAUGCAUAUUGAUGAUAUAAGUUAAAAUGAGAUAUAGAAUGCAUGUUGACAUUGUGAGAUAAAUGUGCAUGAAACUAGGUUGAUAACCCUAGAAUGAUUAAAGUGAAUGAUGCUAUGCUAAAGUAUAAGUGAUAAGCAUGAUAUAAGAAUAGUAAAUGCAAGUGCAUGUUAAGAAUGCUAAGUAAGGAACAUAUAUAGGUGGACAUGAAUAAACCUAUAGAUCGAGUGGCAUUAAACCUAGUGUCGAGGACAUAGGUUAAAUAAAUGAGAUGUUGAACCUAAUGUAAAGAACAUAGGUUAAAUAAGAGGGAUGUUGAACCUAAUGUAAAGGACAUAGGUUGUGAAAUGAAAGCUGCUUAACCUAGAGUCAAGUAAACCUAGGUUGGAAAAGAAUGAUGAUCCUAGUGUAAUAAACCUAGGUUAAGAAUGUGAAAGCAAUAAACCUAAAGUAAUAACUUAGGUUGUGUAAAGGACAAUGAACCUAGAGUCGAUUGGACCUAGGAGAUAAAUGCUUAGACCUAGAGAGGUCAGUUCCAUAGGGUUAAGACCAACCCUUGGUUGAUGUGAUAUGGAUUCCGGAAUCCCGCUGCUUGCUGCUACACCCAAAGUGGUGUCGGGUGUGUGCGACGAUUUCGCCGCCCAGGGGCUAGAGAACCAUUGUCGUGGCGUGUGUGCGACGAUUUCGCCGCCGGAUGGUUAGCCAGUUUGUGGAUCCUACCGCCUGUUGACUGAACCACUGUCGUGGCGUGUGUGCGACGAUUUCGCCGCCGGGUGACUAAGUCAUUGAACCUAGGCCGUUGUUGGGUGAGGUGCGAUUCGUUCGCCGCCAGACGGCUAGGACAGGAGUACGGUGAGCUGUUGCCAGCUGAGGUGCAUGUGAGAGUUCCUUCACCUCGAGCUAGACAGUGCGCGGACUAUCCGCGAUUGAUUGACUCAAGACCGAGUCGGGUGGCUUUGUUGACUAAGGUAAAGUGACCUUAGAGUAGAAUGCCAAAGGCUAAGAUAUAGCAUGGUUCAAGAAUGUUAAGAGUAAAGAAUAGCUAAAGAACAAAGAGUGGCUAAAGAAUAAUGAAUAGCUAAAGAAAGGAAUAGCUAAGAGCUAAAAGUAAGCAUCAAAUGGCAAAGAGUAAAGAAUGAUUAAGAACAUAAGUAGUGUUAAAGUAACCUACUUGCAUGAUUCCAGAUAUUGCAUAUUGCAUUUCGUGAGGC